AGUGAACGCUGGCGGUAGGCCUAACACAUGCAAGUCGAACGGCAGCACAGUAAGAGCUUGCUCUUACGGGUGGCGAGAGGCGGACGGGUGAGGAAUACAUCGGAAUCUACUUUUUCGGGGGGGAUAACGUAGGGAAACUUACGCUAAUACCGCAUACGACCUACGGGUGAAAGCAGGGGAUCUUCGGACCUUGCGCGAUUGAAUGAGCCGAUGUCGGAUUAGCUAGUUGGCGGGGUAAAGGCCCACCAAGGCGACGAUCCGUAGCUGGUCUGGGUGGAUGGUAGGCGACAUGGGAACUUGAACACGGUCCAGACUACUACGGGAGGCAGCAGUCUGGAAUGGUGGACAAUGGGCGCAAGCCUGAUCCAGCCAUACCGCGUGGGUGGAGGAGGCCUUCGGGUUGUAAAGACCUUUUGUUGGGAAAGAAAAGCAGCAGGUUAAUACCCCGCUGUUCUGACGGUAACCAAAGAAUAAGCACCGGCUAACUUCGUG
rnacentral:rRNA from 1 species